UUUCGGGUCCAAACAGGCACACUCAAACUCAACCCCACAUGGGGGCCGGUUUGGUGUUGGGCAAUUAUUGCGUUGUGCACACCAUGACUUGCGUCACCCUUUCAGUACGAGAGAAGUACUCGUAAAACAUAUCUUCCCCCUUGCGUGUCUGUUUGACUCCUUGGUCCGUGUUUCAAGACGGGUGAAGGUACCCCAUUCCCUGGCGCCAACGUUGAGAACAUUGGAACGCGCGCAAGCUCGCCGCUCGCUGCCAGAGGCAGUGCGACAAACUUAUCGAGGUCCCCACGUCCCACCCUCAUUAUGCACUUGAGUUACCCGCACGGGUUUGGUUAUGGCCGACGGGAAAAUGCCUCAAAGGGUGGUGUUGGCAUGAAAUGGAGGUACUUCCAUUACCAUUGUCACGACUUCAGGUUCUAUGUCACUCUCUUUCCAAAGUGCUUUUCAAACUUUCGCUCACGCUACUUGUUCGCUAUCGGUCUUCCUA
rnacentral:rRNA from 1 species